rnacentral:rRNA from 1 species
UACGGGGGGGGCAAGUGUUAUUCGUAAGAACUGGGCGUAAAGGGCCUGUAGGCGGUUAAUUAAGUUAGUUGUUAAAUUUUAAAAACAAUUAGUACUGAUUAGCUUGAGUUUAGGAGAGGAUAAUGGUACUCUUAGUGAAGGGGUAGAAUCCAAUUAUACUAAUGGGGACCACCAACCGGCGAAGGCGAUUAUCUGGUUUAAACUGACGCUGAGGGGCGAAAGCACGGGGAGCAAACAGG